GAUGAAUACCCACCAUUUGCUUCGACGUGGAAGGACCUGGAGGGUAUUAUGCUGAGUGAAUGACUUCAAUUUAAAAAAAUGUGUUAGACCAUCUAUUCUCCUGGAAAAUGUCAUAUUGCUCCCCAAACAUUUGUUUUGGCUGAGAUUCCUCUGUGUCUUAGAAUUAGAAAGGAAUUUAGAAGUCAUCCAGCCCUGUCUGCACUUCACAUGAAGAGCAGCGGAAUACUAGAGCAGUUAAAGACUAACUAAAGUACUAAAGUACUAGAGCGGCCAAGACUGCACCACAGCAGCUGGGUUAAGCCCAGGUCUUGGGACUACGGCCCAGGGCUCCAACACAUCAUGCCCUUUAUGCUGCCAGACAUCAAGUGAUAACAUUCAAGAAGCUUCCAAUCCAAAGAUAAGGAGUCUUUGAUUCUAUAACACGUGGAGUCACCAGAAGAGUUGAGGGAAAACAGGCUCCCUGGUGGAGUGAAAAUCACUGGACGGGCGGUCAGGAGAAGUUCCCCUGAGGUCACUGAGUACGGGGCCCUUGGGUAAUGGACCUGAUUCCAAGUCCCUCGAGGCCCACUGUCUAACCACACGAUGCUGAAUUUAGUCCAUACAAAAUGAGAAGAAGCCUCCUCUUGAACAAAUCUGUACUGACCGCUGAAGGAAGCGACGUGCUUUGAAGGUGGACCAAAGGACGGAGAGGAGACAAACUGCGGGAGGAAGCUUUGCCAUCGGCAUGCUAGAUCUGAGGGUUGUGUGGGAGACCAGUUACUGUUCCGAAGAUUUAAGACAACAUUGUCUGAAUUUACACAUUCACAGAUAUUAUUAGAAGUCACAACUAGGCUGAGGGCAGCGAUAGGCACAAUAUAACCUAACGUAUGUUAGACCAUUACUAUGCUACUCUAGAUAUUUUUUCCCAAAAUAUUUGUUGAGUCUUUAAAUCAGUUGUCUCUCCAAGUUUCUUAAAAUGGAAUCUCUGGAAAUCCAUCUUAAUGACUAAACAAGCGUUGAGCAUUAGCUGUUGCAACUGCAUCUGGGAAUAGUUCUCAAAUGUUUAACUGGACGUCAAAUGGGGUAAAGAAGCCAUUCGGUCAUUUAAUGUGAAGAGCUACAUUUUUCCUACCAGUUUUAAUUGGAUCAAGUCCCAUUAUCUCCCCUUUUCCCCAGACCCUCUCACUGCUGUGCUACUGUCAGGGGCUGUUGGCUGGAUUUGAUGGCAUAAGUGACUACUAUGGGAAAUGAAGAAAGCCUAAGCCUAAAACAACUCACUUUUUCUUGUCUUUUUUUCUACUUUCAGUAUCAACAGGAAAUGAAGAAGUACAGAUUUUUAUAGCCAUUUUAUAGUCAACAUUUCAUUUAUUUAUGUUUUGUUUAAAGAAAAUAGAACAUAGACUCUGUGUGCGUGUUGCCCGCUAUCACAAUUUUGUAUUUCUUACCAAAUCCUAUUUCUUAGUGACAUCAUGUUAAAAUCCAGAAAAAGAAUAACUGAGUAAUUGGUCAAGAGGUCAAGAGUGAGGAACAGGAAGGAAACAGAAGCUGACGUGCCAAAGACGGGAGCGAGGAUGACAGUUCAUGAAAGAGGAACACUUAGAAGUCAUUGGCCUCUGGGAGAACAAAGCAAUAAAACUCAAUGCCAAUGAGCACGGGCCCAUCAAGAGCUGCACAGCUUCCAAACUACCUAAAUUUAACUCCAUCUCAACAAUGUUUGGAUAAUCCCAUUACAGCCAUACACGGUCAGUUAUUUUUCAAGUUUAAAUGUUUCAAAAAGAAGUUAUGAUUUCCUAAUGCAGAUCAUUUUAGCAUCUUGAUCAGCACGGGUUAGAAACUCAGGGCAUAUCUCUGCAGUGUAAAUCAUGGGCCGGAAAGGAUUCAUACUGAGGAUUUUCAUCAACUCAACAGCCAAAUUAGACUGACUAAAUAACCAAUCAAUUUGAACCCAAGCAAGCCUGUGAGAAAGGAAACAGGAGAGUGGGUAUGACAUCUGUUGGCCCUUCUUGCUGGACAGGAGCCCUUGAGAUUGACUCAAAGUGAAGUGCGGUAUUCAUUUACUCCCGUCCCUUCUGAAAUCUUCUACUGUAUGGAAGAGAGCACGUAAAGACUGUGAAGGGAGUGAGGAGAAGAAAAUAACAGUGUCAAGAGUUAAUGGUAUGCCAGGACACCUGCGUGGCUCAGCGGUUGAGCAUCUGCCUUGGGCUCAGGGCAUGACCCCGGCGUCCCGGGAUAGAGUCCCACGUCGGGCUCCCUGCACGGAGCCUGUUUCUCCCUCUGCCUGUGU